rnacentral:rRNA from 1 species
UACGUAGGGUGCGAGCGUUGUCCGGAAUUAUUGGGCGUAAAGAGCUCGUAGGCGGUGUGUCGCGUCGGCCGUGAAAAUCCGGGGCUCAACCCCGGACUUGCGGUGGGUACGGGCAGACUAGAGUGUGGUAGGGGAGACUGGAAUUCCUGGUGUAGCGGUGAAAUGCGCAGAUAUCAGGAGGAACACCGGUGGCGAAAGCGGCGUGCUGGACACCUUCUGACGCUGAGGCGCGAAAGCCAGGGGAGCGAACGGG